rnacentral:tRNA from 1 species
UGGGAUGUAGCUCAGUGGCAAAGCGCUUGCCUAGCAAGUGCCACAUCCUGGGUUCAAUCCCUAGUACCCCCA